rnacentral:rRNA from 1 species
GCAUACAAAGAGAAGCGACCUCGCGAGAGCAAGCGGACCUCAUAAAGUGCGUCGUAGUCCGGAUUGGAGUCUGCAACUCGACUCCAUGAAGUCGGAAUCGCUAGUAAUCGUGGAUCAGAAUGCCACGGUGAAUACGUUCCCGGGCCUUGUACACACCGCCCGUCACACCAUGGGAGUGGGUUGCAAAAGAAGUAGGUAGCUUAACCUUCGGGAGGGCGCUUACCACUUUGUGAUUCAUGACUGGGGUGAAGUCGUAACAAGGUAACCGUAGGGGAACCUGC